GGGUCAUCGAUGACCCUGAUGAAGACCACAAACUGAAACGUGCCGCUUUCCCGAAACUACAAGUAUCGCUGGAGCUCGUUUGACCUCUUUCAGAUCCUUUUUCUCCAAGAACCUUGAAAGUUGGUGAAGUUGAGUCAGAGUUUUUGUCUUCUAAAUUUUCUCGGUUUCAAAUUCUCAGCUGGCUGUAAUACGUAGUUUGACCACCAGAUGGCAGAAGUCACUUAUUAUUCAAAUGAAACCAGAAGAAGCCAAAAUUUCUCCUCAACAGGAAAGAACUCUUUUUGUUUUAGUUUCUGAGAGCUCAUGUUUGAUUUUUGAUCAUUUUUAUUUGUUAGAGAACAAACAUUUAGAGAUUUGAAGGAACUUUGGAAAGUCAGACAAAAAGGAAAAGUUGAAUUUCAGAGGAUGAAUGUUUGAGUUUAGUUUUUCAUUUUUCUGUCUGUGAUAUUCGGCAGAUUUGCAGCUUUAGUGGGAGGAUUUUUUAUGAAUGAACAAACCGACUCAACGAAUGAAAGAUCAGUCAGCUGUUUGACAAGUUUGGCCUUUGACCUCCUGACUGCAGAGCGGUGUGUGUAAGCAGCAGAUGAUGUUUGUUGGUGAGUAAAGGAAGAAGUCACUGAGAGGAGAUGGAACUUCUAAUCCUCAUCCUUCAUCAGACCAUCUGAGUCAGGUCGUCCAGCUCCUCUGACCCCCUCUGUCCUCCUCUGUCCUCCUCUGUCCUCCUCUGUCCUCCUCUUCUUCACUUCUCCAUCGAAGCUGAGGCGUCUGUUUUGCUCACCUGUGCUCUCCAUGAUCUUUUGUCUCUAUUUCUGUGAUUCUCCUUCAAGAAAAGUGUUUAUUUUUGAGCUGCAGAAAAAAGAGAAAAGUAUAAAUGUUUUCAUCUCCUUAUCUGACCUUCUCCCCUCAUGUAAAGGUCAGAGGUCAGCCCCUACACACCGACCUCCCGUUACACAAACUUCUCCCUCAUACGUGUUCAUCUUCCUGUAACAGGCCCAGAUAACAGCAGAGCUUGUCCUAAUUGGCUAACAGUGCUGAGUGAGCUCACGCCCGUAAGCCUCUUACAGUAAUGCACCUGCUGCUGAGCCCACACCGUGGCCCGCCACCGCCA